AUUGAACGCUGGCGGCAUGCCUUACACAUGCAAGUCGAACGGUAACAGGUUAAGCUGACGAGUGGCGAACGGGUGAGUAAUGUAUCGGAACGUGCCCAGUCGUGGGGGAUAACUGCUCGAAAGAGCAGCUAAUACCGCAUACGACCUGAGUGUGAAAGCGGGGGAUCGCAAGACCUCGCGCGAUUGGAGCGGCCGAUAUCAGAUUAGGUAGUUGGUGAGGUAAAGGCUCACCAAGCCGACGAUCUGUAGCUGGUCUGAGAGGACGACCAGCCACACUGGGACUGAGACACGGCCCAGACUCCUACGGGAGGCAGCAGUGGGGAAUUUUGGACAAUGGGCGCAAGCCUGAUCCAGCCAUGCCGCGUGCGGGAAGAAGGCCUUCGGGUUGUAAACCGCUUUUGUCAGGGAAGAAAAGGUUCUGGCUAAUACCUGGGACUCAUGACGGUACCUGAAGAAUAAGCACCGGCUAACUACGUG
rnacentral:rRNA from 1 species